rnacentral:rRNA from 1 species
AAUCUUCCACAAUGGAACGAAAGUCUGAUGGAGCAACGCCGCGUGAGUGAAGAAGGGUUUCGGCUCGUAAAGCUCUGUUGGUAGUGAAAGAAAGAUAGAGGUAGUAACUGGCCUUUAUUUGACGGUAAUUACUUAGAAAGUCACGGCUAACUACGUGCC